rnacentral:rRNA from 1 species
GACAGAGGGUGCAAACGUUGUUCGGAAUUACUGGGCGUAAAGGGCGCGUAGGCGGCCCGCUAAGUCGAACGUGAAAUCCCCAGGCUCAACCUGGGAACUGCGUCCGAUACUGGCAGGCUUGAAUCCGGGAGAGGGAUGUGGAAUUCCAGGUGUAGCGGUGAAAUGCGUAGAUAUCUGGAGGAACACCGGUGGCGAAGGCGGCAUCCUGGACCGGUAUUGACGCUGAGGCGGCGAAAGCUAGGGGAGCAAACGGG